rnacentral:rRNA from 1 species
CCCUUAGAUGUUCUGGGCCGCACGCGCGCUACACUGACGGAGGCAGCGAGCGUGUCCUUCGCCGGCAGGUGCGGGCAAUCUUGCGAGUCUCCGUCGUGCUGGGGAUAGAUGGUUGCGAUUGUCGAUCUUGAACGAGGAAUUCCUAGUAAGCGCGAGUCAUCAGCUCGCGCUGAUUACGUCCCUGCCCUUUGUACACACCGCCCGUCGCUACUACAGAGUGCCCGUGUCCAAGAAACGGUCGGACCUGUGCGGCCUCUCCGGGCGACCGGAGGGCCGUUACGGGGAAGACCCUUUAUUUGACGCGGGUCGAUGAAGUAAAAGUCGUAACA